AUAAAAGAACACAUACUGGAGAGAAACCCUAUGACUGUGACCAAUGUGGCAAAGCCUUUGCACAUCGUAAACAUCUUCAAAUGCAUAAGGGAACAACACAUAAUGGAGAGAAACCCUAUGCAUGUAAUCAAUGUGGUAAGGCCUUUACAUGUCCCAGCUAUCUUCAAAUCCAUAAAAGAAACCAUACUGGAGAGAAACCCUAUGAAUGUGACCAAUGUGGCAAAGCCUAUGCACGACACAGUUACCUUCAAACACAUAAAAGAACACAUACUGGAGAGAAACCCUAUGAAUGUAACCAAUGUGGCAAAGCCUAUGCACGACACAGUGGCCUUCAAACUCAUAAAAGAACACAUACUGGAGAGAAACCCUAUGAAUGUGACCAAUGUGGCAAAGCCUUUGCAUGUCACGGCUAUCUUCAAGAACAUAAAAGAACACACACUGGAGAGAAACCCUAUGAAUGUAGCCAAUGUGGCAAAGCCUUUGCAUGUCACAGUACUCUUCGAAAGCAUAAAAGAUCACAUACUGGAGAGAAACCUUAUGAAUGUCACCAAUGUGGCAAAGCCUAUGCACAACACAGUUACCUUCAAGCACAUAAAAGAACACAUACUGGAGAGAAACUCUAUGAAUGUCACCAAUGUGGCAAAGCCUUUGCACAUCGCAACCAUCUUCAAAUACAUAAAAAAACACAUACUGGAGAGAAACUCUAUGUAUGUAAUCAAUGUGGCAAGGCCUUUGCUUGUCACAGCUAUCUUCAAAAACAUACAAGAAGACAUACUGGAGAGAAACCCCUAUGAAUGUACCCAAUGCGGCAAAGCCUUUGCACAGUUUGGACGUCUUCAAAGUCAUAAAAAAAAGACAUAC
ensembl:lincRNA